UCCAUACUGGGACAGCAUAGGCACAUCUCCUCCUAUCCCUGCGUCCACUCGGGAACUGUGAUCACCUGACCUCUGAGCUUUCUGCUUGUGGAAUGAGCAAUGCCAAUGCACAGGCAUGAUCUGUUACCUACGGGGAGUGGCGGUGUUCCCACGGCUCUCAGAGAACAACUGAACACUACUAGGGAGCAUCCUAAUCUACAUUUAGGCUGGCAGGGAUGGUGACUCCAUUGCCUCCACGGGCAGCCUUUUCAAAGCGAUAUGCCUUCAACAUUACAUCUUUCACCUUCUUUGAACUUCCUCUCUUCUCCUGGGAUGGUGUAUUCCAUGAAGUGGUUUAGGCCCAACUGCAGCUGUUGGAGGAUCGCAGCAAUAUUUCUGCCACAGGAAGACAAUUCUCAUGAUCAUCUUCAAUUAAUUUACAUCACAUAGUGAAAGAAUGUAUUUUAGCAUACCUUCUUUAUGAGUUAUCAUCUGUGACUCCUUACAGUUAAUGAAAUUAAACCAAA